GUUUGAUCCUGGCUCAGGAUGAACGCUAGCGGCAGGCUUAACACAUGCAAGUCGAGGGGUAAGGUAGCAAUAUCUGAGACCGGCGCACGGGUGCGUAACGCGUAUGCAAUCUACCUUUUACAGAGGGAUAGCCCAGAGAAAUUUGGAUUAAUACCUCAUAGUAUAAUUGAAUGGCAUCAUUUAAUUAUUAAAGUUCCAACGGUAAAAGAUGAGCAUGCGUCCUAUUAGCUAGAUGGUAAGGUAACGGCUUACCAUGGCUACGAUAGGUAGGGGUCCUGAGAGGGAGAUCCCCCACACUGGUACUGAGACACGGACCAGACUCCUACGGGAGGCAGCAGUGAGGAAUAUUGGACAAUGGGCGCAAGCCUGAUCCAGCCAUGCCGCGUGCAGGAAGAAGCAUCUAUGGUGUGUAAACUGCUUUUGUACAGGAAGAAACAUCCCGACGUGUCGGGACUUGACGGUACUGUAAGAAUAAGGAUCGGCUAACUCCGUGCCAGCAGCCGCGGUAAUACGGAGGAUCCAAGCGUUAUCCGGAAUCAUUGGGUUUAAAGGGUCCGUAGGCGGUUUAAUAAGUCAGUGGUGAAAUCUGGUCGCUCAACGAUCAAACGGCCAUUGAUACUGUUAGACUUGAAUUACUAGGAAGUAACUAGAAUAUGUAGUGUAGCGGUGAAAUGCUUAGAUAUUACAUGGAAUACCAAUUGCGAAGGCAGGUUACUACUAGUGGAUUGACGCUGAUGGACGAAAGCGUGGGGAGCGAACAGGAUUAGAUACCCUGGUAGUCCACGCCGUAAACGAUGGAUACUAGCUGUUGGGAGCAAUCUCAGUGGCUAAGCGAAAGUGAUAAGUAUCCCACCUGGGGAGUACGUUCGCAAGAAUGAAACUCAUAGGAAUUGACG
rnacentral:rRNA from 1 species